rnacentral:piRNA from 1 species
UCCUUCAUUCGAAAUUGAUCA